rnacentral:misc_RNA from 1 species
UAAUUUAAAAAAAAAAAAAAAGUAACUCACGUACCAAGUGGUGCGUGAGUUGCAUAUUGGGCCAAUUUGAAUUUAAAUUAAAAGAGAAGGACUAAAUUGGACUAAAAGUUAAAAAUGGAUUAAAUUGAACAUCCCUGAAAAAUAAAAAGUACAGUGAGUGGGCAGAUUGAGCUUAUUUCCUUUACCAAAUUGUAUGCAAACUCACCCUCUAUGUUAAUUUUUGACAGGGAGAAGUAAUUUCAGUGGCAA